UGAUAGCGUUGAAGCGUGAGGUUGCCGUGAGCCAAAAUAAAGGGCUGGCGGGUUUUCCGUGGAGCGAAUGUCAAGGCCGGAAG
rnacentral:ncRNA from 1 species